UUCUGAAAUGAUUUCAAACUUAAACAAAAUUUGCAUACAUGUUUAGAUCAUGAAAUAUAUUAUGCAGUGUAUGUAAUCUAUUUGGUCAAAAUACUCUGAUUUCCUAAUACGAAGUUAUUUACAACUGAACACAAUUUUCUUAUACUGUCACGAAUGAAAUGAAGUUUUGUCAGAAAAUGUUAAGGAGAUAAAUUUGACUCUAUCAUUGUCAAAAAAAUUGAGUGAUGUUACGAUGUUCUGGUUUGUAAAUUGCUUUGUAACUUUUGUACACUAAAAAAAUAAUAAUAAUAAUAAUAAUGUAUUUUACUUCAAAAUGAUGUUGUUUGGAUCAGAAAUGAAAGUAUUUGACAGAGCUUCUCACAAUGAAAAUUAGGUUUUAUUCAAGUUCAAAACAUGUGAAAAUGUACAGUUUUCAUGAUAUAAUUCACCCGCAGAAACUUCCUCUAAAGUCAACAAAGUAAUAUUUUAUAGGAUAAAAACGUUAAUAAUCAUGCCCAGAGCUCUGGCAACACCUAAAUCAGCCAUGACCCAACUCAGGCUCCCACCUGAGUUUACUAUUAUCCUACCUGCUCAUCAACUUCUCUAUCCAUUAUUAAUUGCGGUCUCAACUACACUAGGAUUUUCUGGAUUUUUGAUAAGCCGCAAUUUGUCAAUCAAUCCAGAUGUUAGAAUCAACAAAGAUUAUCAUCUUGCCGGAAUACUUAAAAAUUACAAAGAAGGAAAAAGAUACUAUCAUCAUCAACUAAGAAGUUUUAUUUUAAAGAAGAUUGCUAACUUUUAGCUUUUACUUCUAAUAUAUAUAAAAAAGUUAUAUGUGCACAUAUAUAUAUAUAUAUAUAUAUAUAUAUAUCUAUUAUAUAAGAUAAUUUAGAUGUAAUACAAAGAGACAAAGAAGUCUUUUGAUUAGCUGUGACAAAGGAAACUUGGGGAACAUGGGAACAUGAAAAUUAGAGAACAUAGAAACCAAAGGGCAUGGAUGAAUUAGAAAAUGGAUGGAUGUGCCAAAGAUUAAAGUGCCUAAAAAUAGGUUUUUGCUAGUAUAUAUAUAUAUAUAUAUAUAUAUACACACACAAUCACAAAAACCAUUAAAAUUAAAAGUUGAUU